rnacentral:lncRNA from 1 species
GCGGUGGCGGCGAGCGGGGAGCGGCGGGGCCUGGAGCGCUGGCGGUGGUCGGAGAAAGCAGAAUGGGUCUGGAGUGGCCUAUGAAAUCUGGCGAUUCUUCUACAUUGUACAUUGCUUUCUUAAUCAUUCUUAAUCAUAAGAAUUUUAUAUUUCUGUUGGGAAUCAUGUAACCAGAUAUUGACCUCAGGAGGAUAUCACAAUAUCUUUUGAAUUACAGAGUCUUGCUCUGUUGCCAGAUUGGAGUGAAGUGGCGCGAUCUCAGCUCACUGCACCCUCUGACUCCCUGAUUCAAGUGAUGCUCCUGCCUCAGACUCCCAAGUAUUUCCUAUAUCUUCCUGUCUUUUCCAUGGCCAAAAAUGAUCAAGUAAAGAACAUUAAAGAAGAAAUAAAUUACUACAUAUUAAAAAAUACAUACUGUAAGAUGUUCUUUGUACAAAAAUGUGACAACUUCAAUAAGAGUAACUUGGACAACCUGAGGCAUUAAUUGAGGAUCAAUAUGAUGACUUUACAUUGAGAAUCACAUAUACCCUCUGAAUAAAUUUAAAAAAUGAAA